UCCUAGGUGGCUCAGUGGGUAAAGAAUCUGCCUGCAAUGCAGAAGACCUGGGUUUGAUCCCUGGGUCAGGAA
rnacentral:tRNA from 1 species